UCCUUGGUGGUCCAGUGGCUAGGACCCUGUGCUUUCAAUGCAGGGGGCACAGGUUUGAUCCCUGGUCAGGAAA
rnacentral:tRNA from 1 species